rnacentral:misc_RNA from 1 species
UUUAGUUAUUUAACUAUUUCAGACAUAACAUGCUUAGAAGAAUUUAUUGUGGGCUACUGACAGGCGCUGGCCAGAGGUUUUGACCCCUCCGGCGGUCCGGUUAAAGACGGGCCCGCCAAAGCAACAUGGUAGUAAUACAAAGGGUUGGAGAUCGGGCCUAGAAGACCCUAACUCAUUAAUGAUCCUUCCGCAGGUUCACCUACGGAAA